GGAGUAGCGAGUCGGCAACCCGGAGGGGUAGAAAUAUUUCUGUCAUGGCUCAUUCAAAGACUAGGACCAAUGAUGGAAAAAUUACAUAUCCGCCUGGGGUCAAGGAAAUAUCAGAUAAAAUAUCUAAAGAGGAGAUGGUGAGACGAUUAAAGGUGAGUAAAAUUCUAUUCUUUUGGACAUCUGUGUAGGGCAGAGGUCCCCUGUGGAAAUCACAUGGGGCUAUAAUGUAUCUUGUUAGGGUAACUUAAAAAAGCAAAGCAAAGCAGCAAAUGGCAUAGAAAAGAUCUAAGGGAGUAGAGUAUAUAAGGUACAGUGGGGAUUAUUUGGCUAUGAUUAAAGGGACAGCAAUUAGGUGAAGCUUAGAUUUUCUAGGAUCUCCUAUACUUGGGUAUAAAGAACAAGUCUACAAUACUCAUAUUCCUUAUUGUCUAUACAAAGUUUUCUCCUUUCUUCUAUAUAGUUUCUAAAGACAACCACUUUAAGGGAGUUUUAAGUCUUUAUACUGAGUAAUUAGGCUGUGUACUACUUUCUUGUAAGUUAUUUUCAAAGUAGGUCAAAGGGCUUCACUUUAAGCUUCUCCCUCUGCUUCUGACAUGUAGUAAUGAAUCAAGAUUGCUGGUGAACUUCUAUGGAUGAGGCUAGGGCCUCUUCAUAUGUGUUUGAAUAAUAUUUUCACCUUUUCCUUUAGGGUGGUGAUGAUCUCUGUAAUUGUUAAAAUGGAUAAAGAAGCAUAGUGUUCAAGGAGAAUGUUAAGCUGGUCUAUUAGUUAGUUUAGAUGGUCUUUAUUUUUGAGCAUUUCCGAUCGAGGUUGUAUCUAUCUAGAUAUUUAUGUUGCUUGAUAUAUUAUUAUUUAUCUGGAUGUCAGGGCUGAAAAAUGUUCCCAAAUUAAUCAUUGAAGAUCCAGGGGCUUAAAAACAAAUACUCUUCUUUAUUGCUACAUGGUGUAUAGAAUUUUUAUAAAGAGAAAAAGAUGCUAAUACUAUCAUAAAUUUCACAUAAAGUCUUAAUAUUGUACAUGUAUAUGUUUAUACUUAAAGUAUCAGAAUGUCAGAUAUCAGAUGUUUAUUCAAAGGAAAAUCAUCUUUGAGCAGAUUAAAUUUACUAAUAGGUGGAUAUUUUAUCUAGUUGGGAACUGGUGUGUAUUUUAUUAAGAAUAGUCAAGCUAUGAAUCCUUUCUAUAUAUGACAUGUUUCAUUUUCUAUGUAUUUACCUUCUCUUGACCUAUUGCAUUUUUAGAGAAACUAAUACAUUUAUUACCUUAUAUUUGUUUAUACUAAGUGAGCAUUCCUGUUGUUUGUUGAGAAACUAAUCUUGAACUCAGAGCCUACACUUAAAACUGAUUAGCAUUGGUGUCUUUUAGAGAUGUUAUUUUCUCAGAUUUCUUUCCUAAUUUGGAGGACUCAUGAGUUAUUAAUGAGUUUUAUAACAGCAUUUGAGUUGUAGACAGUAGUGAGGAAUUCCCAUUUUCUGGACCUUGAACAAACUUUGUGGUUAUUGUUGGUGGAAUGAUUGCCUCAGUACUCAUAUUUAAUGUUUGUAAUAUGCUUUCAUUAUUUUGUAGACAUUUAUGUCUAGCAGUAAUCCAGUUAUACUUUUUUCUCAUUUAUUUUCCUAAUUUAUAGUUCCAUUUUUAGCAUCCUCCUUCUUAGAAAAAUAUGAAAAAAUUAUGUAGGAUGAUAUGUACAAAUACCCAUGUAAGUUUUAUACAUUAUAACAAUUUGUUAACGUGUAAGGUGAUACUGUUUAUAAAAUUUUUUUUCCUGUAACAUUUUAUUCAAAAUAUGCUUAAUCUCUUAUCUUUUGUUAAGAGAUCUACAGAAAUAAAUAGUUACAUGCAUGCAGUUCUUUUUUACCCUUUGUGGUUUUUCCUAAACAUAUAGGCAAUCAAA
rnacentral:sRNA from 1 species